rnacentral:rRNA from 1 species
GACGAACGCUGGCGGCGUGCCUAAUACAUGCAAGUAGAACGCUGAGGGAGGAGCUUGCUUCGCUGGAUGAGUGGCGAACGGGUGAGUAACGCGUAGGUAACCUGCCUGGGAGCGGGGGAUAACUAUUGGAAACGAUAGCUAAUACCGCAUAAGAGUAGAUGUCGCAUGGCGUUGGCUUGAAAGUUGCGGUUGCAUCGCUACCAGAUGGACCUGCGGUGUAUUAGCUAGUUGGUGUGGUAACGGCGCACCAAGGCGACGAGACGUAGUGGAACUGCGAGGGGGGGUGGCCAGCCUGGGACUGUGACACGGCCCAGACGCCUUCGGGAGGCAGCAGGAGUGAAUCGUCGGGCAUGGACGGAAGUCUUACCGAGCAAGGCCGCGGCCGGGAAGAAGGACGUCGGGUCGUAAAGCUCGGUUGUAAGGUAAGAACGCGCGUGAGCGUGGAAAGUACACAGUGUGACGGUAUCUGAUCAGAAAGCGCCGGCUAACUACGUG